GAUGAACGCUGGCGGCGUGCCUAAUACAUGCAAGUCGAGCGAACGGACGAGAAGCUUGCUUCUCUGAUGUUAGCGGCGGACGGGUGAGUAACACGUGGAUAACCUACCUAUAAGACUGGGAUAACUUCGGGAAACCGGAGCUAAUACCGGAUAAUAUUUUGAACCGCAUGGUUCAAAAGUAAAAGACGGUCUUGCUGUCACUUAUAGAUGGAUCCGCGCUGCAUUAGCUAGUUGGUAAGGUAACGGCUUACCAAGGCAACGAUGCAUAGCCGACCUGAGAGGGUGAUCGGCCACACUGGAACUGAGACACGGUCCAGACUCCUACGGGAGGCAGCAGUAGGGAAUCUUCCGCAAUGGGCGAAAGCCUGACGGAGCAACGCCGCGUGAGUGAUGAAGGUCUUCGGAUCGUAAAACUCUGUUAUUAGGGAAGAAUAUAUGUGUAAGUAACUGUGCACAUCUUGACGGUACCUAAUCAGAAAGCCACGGCUAACUACGUGCCAGCAGCCGCGGUAAUACGUAGGUGGCAAGCGUUAUCCGGAAUUAUUGGGCGUAAAGCGCGCGUAGGCGGUUUUUUAAGUCUGAUGUGAAAGCCCACGGCUCAACCGUGGAGGGUCAUUGGAAACUGGAAAACUUGAGUGCAGAAGAGGAAAGUGGAAUUCCAUGUGUAGCGGUGAAAUGCGCAGAGAUAUGGAGGAACACCAGUGGCGAAGGCGACUUUCUGGUCUGUAACUGACGCUGAUGUGCGAAAGCGUGGGGAUCAAACAGGAUUAGAUACCCUGGUAGUCCACGCCGUAAACGAUGAGUGCUAAGUGUUAGGGGGUUUCCGCCCCUUAGUGCUGCAGCUAACGCAUUAAGCACUCCGCCUGGGGAGUACGACCGCAAGGUUGAAACUCAAAGGAAUUGACGGGGACCCGCACAAGCGGUGGAGCAUGUGGUUUAAUUCGAAGCAACGCGAAGAACCUUACCAAAUCUUGACAUCCUUUGACAACUCUAGAGAUAGAGCCUUCCCCUUCGAGGGACAAAGUGACAGGUGGUGCAUGGUUGUCGUCAGCUCGUGUCGUGAGAUGUUGGGUUAAGUCCCGCAACGAGCGCAACCCUUAAGCUUAGUUGCCAUCAUUAAGUUGGGCACUCUAAGUUGACUGCCGGUGACAAACCGGAGGAAGGUGGGGAUGACGUCAAAUCAUCAUGCCCCUUAUGAUUUGGGCUACACACGUGCUGCAAUGGACAAUACAAAGGGCAGCGAAACCGCGAGGUCAAGCAAAUCCCAUAAAGUUGUUCUCAGUUCGGAUUGUAGUCUGCAACUCGACUACAUGAAGCUGGAAUCGCUAGUAAUCGUAGAUCAGCAUGCUACGGUGAAUACGUUCCCGGGUCU
rnacentral:rRNA from 1 species